CCCUGCUCCUGUCUGGAGCUCUAUCGGGCAGGUCAGGAUGUCAUUCCAGGUAUCCCCCUGCUCCUGUCUGGAGCUCUAUCAGGUAGGUCCGCAUGUCAUUCCAGGUAUCUACCGCAGGUGCCUUCCUUCAGCUGGAUGUCGGAGCUUGGUGCCGGUCCCUGGACAAAGAGAUGCUGGGGAGGUAGCAUCUCCCUACCUUGGGCUCCUCACUCUUCAUCUCUGCACCCGCAUGGAGUUUUUCCUUGAGGAAAAUAACUAAAUCACCUGUCCUUCCCAGAAGGGUGUCUGAGGUUCCAGGAGGAGACGAGCCUGGAGUAAGAACACCCCAAGAAUGGACACAGUUCUCUUCUCCCUCUCAAGGUUUUUCUUCCGCAAGAACCUAAAUCAGGUCUUCCAGCAUGUCUAUUGGCAUGGUACCAUGCUCUUCAACUGGUGGGCCAGAGUCCAGUGUGUUCUGGCUGGGAAGUCAUGUGAUGUCCCUGUGGAGGUUCAGGAGGAAGCAGGUCGCUGCUGGGCUGAGUGACAGCUUAGGAGAUGGACAUCUCUGUGCUGGCAUAGCUUGUCUCAGAGCUGGCCCUUCCCUGGGGUCAUGAGGUCAGACCUUUGCUGCUCCUUAGCGCCUCCUGGAGGCAGGGAAGGUGGCCUUCCAGGAGCCCAGUCAAUAGCCCAGAGAGUGAGCUAGGGUGGGGGUGGGGGAGUAAUUCACACACUCACAUAGUAUCCUGCACCCCAGCCGGCUCUCCAUCGUCAGCUUAGCUGGCUCCUGCCAGAUCUCAGGUGAAAGCUUACUGAGGAUUUUCUCUACAGGUUUGUGGGAGUUUGCCCAGCUGUGAGGGAAACAUCUCCAUCCUCGGACUGGUGAGAAGACCCUGUUAGCUCCAGGAUCCUCAGCUGAACCCUCAGUUAUGCUUUGAGCUACAGUCGUGUUGAUCAUGAUCCUAAACAGGCCUUUCUUAUCCCAGCGUCUUCCUUGGUCUUCCUACAUGUUGGAGUCUCGGCUCAGUCUAUGGCCGUCACUGCUCAUUCUUUCUGCCAUCUCUUCACCAAGUGCCCCUCACAGAUGACUUUCAAAGCAACCAUGGUUUUCCAUGUUGGUCUCAACAUCCUUCUUCUCUUCAGCUUCCAUCAGAAGACCUCUCCCAAGGGACACGGGAAGAGGCUGACUGAGGACCUAGGUGUCUCCAUGGAGACCUGGGUAGAGCAGCUCUCAGCUCAGCAGACCGCGCCCCCAGAGCUGCGGAUCAUCAGGAUCAUCCAGUGAAAGGAGAAUCUCUUCCCUUCUGGAGUUCAGGAGGAAUGCAGUAGAACCAGGCUUCCUACCCACUGCUCGCAAAAAUUUGUAGCUAUUUGUGUACCUCCUGCCUCUACUAGAUAGAGUCCCCUAAUGGAAGGGACUGUUGUCUUUUCAUUGGCCACUGCACUGCUCAUCGACUUCAUCGCAACAAAUGUGCCUCUAAGAUUUGGCGUCUGCAAAUAGUGGUCAUGGCCACUGGUAAAGAACAGGCCUGGGUGUGGACACAGUCAAGGAUGCCUUGCUAUCUGGCUUAUGGGAAACUUACGUGGUUUCCAAUGUGGCUGUGAACAGUUGCCCCCUCUCCCACAUAGCUUUGGGCUCACCACCCUCUGCACACAUGUCUCUGUAGUUCUCUGAUUCCAUAGUACAUGGUCAGGGGGGCAGAAAGGGGCAUAUGCAUGGAUCAGAAUUGUUUUGCCAACCUGUGGGGUUUCUUCUUUGUUCAAUUGUUUCUUCUAUAAAUAUCGGCAAAUAAAAUUAUCUAAGAUUGAUGCUUCUCCUGUCUCAGUGGGAGACACUAAGAACUCUGAAUGUAAAUUGUGCAACAAGCUUCUACCGAGGAAUAACGGGACUGGUGAGAAAUGGUUGAUCUUCAUUUAGUUCACACAUAGAAGUCUCCUGACACACACACCGUGAACACCCGAGGCAGGUGGGUUAGCUGGCCCCAAGGUCAUAAGAGCAAGAGAGCUACCACUGUCUCCCACCAGCUGCAGCACUUGGAGGAGCCGGCCCUGAGCAUCUCCAGGGCAACCCGAUAGAAUCAAGCCAACCUGUUGGGUGGAGAUGUGGAUGAGCUGGUCCAGAAGUUGUGAGCAUGGAAGAGC